rnacentral:rRNA from 1 species
CCUACGGGAGGCAGCAGUGGGGAAUAUUGGGCAAUGGGCGCAAGCCUGAACCAGCAACGCCGCGUGAAGGAAGAAGGCUUUCGGGUUGUAAACUUCUUUUUUCAGGGACGAAGAAAGUGACGGUACCUGAGGAAUAAGCCACGGCUAACUACGUGCCAGUAGCCGCGGUAAUACGUAGGUGGCAAGCGUUAUCCGGAUUUAUUGGGUGUAAAGGGCGGGUAGGCGGGAGCGCAAGUCAGAUGUGAAAACUCAGGGCCAAACCCUGAGCCUGCAUUUGAAACUGUGUUUCUUGAGUGCUGGAGAGGUAAUCGGAAUUCCGGGUGUAGCGGUGAAAUGCGUAGAUAUACGGAGGAACACCAGUGGCGAAGGCGGAUUGCUGGACAGUAACUGACGCUGAGGCGCGAAAGCGUGGGGAGCAAACAGGAUUAGAUACCCGGGUAGUC